CGCCGCCGCCCUGCCCCUGCGCAGCGGCGAGUGAAGCUAAGCGUCGGCAAGCAUCGAUCCAGCGCGGUGGUGCUCACUACCUGUUCGACGGUGGCAAGUAAAGCAUCCAUGCCGGGCAGCGAAGAUCGGCUCAGCGCUCUGCCGGACGGCGUCCUCCAGCACGUCCUCGGCUUCCUGCCGGCGAAACGGGAAUGAGUAGCUCCUCGAUUCAGGUUUCAGGAUCCAACAGCUAAAACGCGAGGCAUAAUUUACUCACGCCGUCGUUUCUUUUUUCAAGGACUUCUCGUUUUUCCUCCAGUUUAUUAAUUGCAAGGGAUCCAUUAACAGCAAGGAAUGCUGAACGUCAGGGAGUCGUCGUUCUUCAGGAACUGCGUUUCUCGAUCCAUGGUACCGUACCGGGUUCAUCGUACCUAAAUGAAUUGGAUCGCGUCCCCGCUAUAAAAAAUUCGUUCGAGAGAUGUAUACCUUCGUUGUAUCCUAUUUUUUUCAACCACCGACUCUCGUCCCUCGUUCCCGUUUCUCGUUCCCACCGUACCGGAAACAUGGCAACUAUGAGCUCAGGUGCUCAGUCUCUCCUUCAUCAGGCUGGGAAACCCUCCUCUGGUCUCUCGGCAUUUGAGGAGACUCGAACUCACUUAUAUGGCUUUAGAAGCAAAUAUCAAAUAUCCUCGAUCUCGCAAGCUGCCCAGCAUUGGAGGAUCUGAUCAUGGCGUCUUGUAUAUCAUCCCUUCACAAGAUCUCGUCCCAGUCGGUGAAGCGUCUCAGCAUCAGCGGCUGUGAUUUCCUCUGUGAUUGCCGGCCUAGGAUAACAAUCCCUAGCCUCGUUUGGCUGCUGCUCGACUCUUUCGGUGGUAACGUUCCUUUGCUUGGAAGCAUGCCUUCACUGAAAACAGCACUUGUGAGGCCUGCGGCAUACUCGAGUGAUUGCUGCAAAGGAGGUGAUCUGGGGCAGUGCUGUGGCAGCUGUGCAGAAUGUACCGGUGAUGAUGACCAUAGCGGCCGCUGCGUGCUUCUUGGAGGCUUGUCCACUGCUGUAAAUUUGGAGCUGGUAGCUCACGCUGGAAUGGUAUACUUAGGGCCCGUUCGGGGAUCCACCAGCUCCUCAAAAUACACGGAGCUGGGGAGUACCGUUUCGGCCGCUCUGAAUUUUCUAGCGGCAGCUCCGUCCGCUCCGGGAGCGGGGGCGCGGAGCGGAGGGACUCCGAACAGCCCCUUACUUCAUUACUUGGAACUCCCAUCUUUACUCUCAGUCUCCUACAAGUCUUGUUUUCUUUCACUCCUAGCUAGCUUGUUUUGAAGAUUCUGUAUCCAUCUUUAGAUACCGGCGACUUUUUAACACUUGUAUGUACAUGGAUUGCCAGAAGAUAGGCUUAGGCUUCUAAAUAAUGUUUUUUUUUGCUGUUGGCACAUGUGAAUUAGUUGGCCUCUGAAUACAAGUGCUAAGUGAAUAUUUAUAUACAACUUUAAUUUAAUCAUUCAUGGUCAAUAUGUGAAUUAUUUGUAUGUAUAAAUGUAUAGAAACAAACAUGCUGAAUGUAGCAUGUGCUUUAUACGAAGUAUAUAUAUAUCCUGCAUUACAUUCUCAAGGUGUGACUUUUGAAAUGCCUAUACGAACCUGCUACGCACUUCACUUCCACUGAAUCAUCACUUUAAGCCUAAAACUUGAGCUGUUCAUACUUUCAUCAGCUUAUUUUUGGAAGAGAUUUGAGGUGGUGUCCUACAUUUAGUAACUUGAAGACAUUGUUACUGAAUGACUGGUGUGUGGCUAUUGACUUCCGUGCACUACUUUGCAUUCUCGAGCAUUCACCUGUUCUUGAGAAGCUCACUCUUCAACUAUGUAAGAGACAGGAAUUUAUAACUGUGCUGGCAGGUAACUGCUAUCCACUGGAAAAAUUACCUGCAAUAUCCGAACACCUUAAUACUGUGGAAAUCAGAUGUAGAGAUAUUGAUGGGAGGGUUUGCAGGAUUUUAAAAUUCUUGAGUCGAUUUGUCAGUGUCACGCAGAUUAACAUCAAACUGACUGCGCAACUGUCCACAUGCUUCAGUUUCGAGACAUGGCUCUCGGCCUCCCCGGCAAAUGGUGAUGAUUAUUCAUGAACGCGAGGCUAAAGUCUGGUCUUUUGUCUCUGCAAUGUUGCACUGUUUUAAAUCUUUGAAGAGGCCUAAUCUUAGGAACAGCGUGGAAUGAGCUGCACAACUUGUUUGAGCUAUCUCGGCCAGUUGGACCUGGUUUAUCAUAGUGACGUGGGUCGUGUUCUUUUGCCUAGAUGCAUAUGUUCUGCUGUCUGCCUUUACUUUCGGUGUAGUUCCUUAGCCCAAGAACAGGUUAUAUCACUGUAACGCAUCGGAUGUUUACAUCUCGUCUCACUAUGUUUAAUAGAUUUAUCAUGUACCAUGUUCCUCAAGAUUUUUUGUGCGCCAGCCAUGCAUGUUG